rnacentral:misc_RNA from 1 species
GGAUGAAGAACGCAGCGAAACGCGAUAUGUAAUGUGAAUUGCAGAAUUCAGUGAAUCAUCGAAUCUUUGAACGCACAUGGCGCCUUCCAGUAUCCUGGGAGGCAUGCCUGUCCGAGCGUCGUUUCAACCCUCGAGCCCCCGUGGCCCGGCGUUGGGGAUCUGCCCAGGCAGUCCCCGAAAACCAGUGGCGGACCCGUUACAGGCCCUUCCCUUGCGUAGUAGCAUUCGCCUCGCAUCGGGAGCCGGCGGGCUUCCAGCCUCUAAACCCCCAUCAAGUCCGCCCCGGCGGCACCAAGGUUGACCUCGGAUCAGGUAGGAAUACCCGCUGAACUUAAGCAUAUCAAUAAGCGGAGGA